rnacentral:rRNA from 1 species
AUUGAACGCUGGCGGCAUGCUUUACACAUGCAAGUCGAGCGGCAGCGCGGGGGCAACCCUGGCGGCGAGCAGCGAACGGGUGAGUAAUGCAUCGGAACGUACCCUGGAGUGGGGGAUAACGCCGCGAAAGCGGCGCUAAUACCGCAUAUGCUCUGAGGAGGAAAGUGGGGGACCGCAAGGCCUCACGCUCUGGGAGCGGCCGAUGUCCGAUUAGCUAGUUGGUGGGGUAAAGGCUUACCAAGGCGACGAUCGGUAGCUGGUCUGAGAGGAUGAUCAGCCACACUGGGACUGAGACACGGCCCAGACUCCUACGGGAGGCAGCAGUGGGGAAUUUUGGACAAUGGGGGCAACCCUGAUCCAGCCAUGCCGCGUGAGUGAAGAAGGCC